GAGCAGAGGGGCUUUUUGCUUCCAAAUGGGGUGUUCUGGCACCAAGAACGUCCCCACGCCCUGCGUGCCAGGGCUGUGCUUGGGUCAGCCCUGCUGCUCCUCGAGGCAGCAAGCUGGGACACCACAGGUCCCCCUUCCCAGUGCCAUCCGUGUCUUCCCAAAUCACUUGGACCCACCAGCUUUGGAGCAAACCUUGUAAUGUGGGGCCUGUUGGGCAGGGAAGGGGUUGUGGGAAGCCUCACACCAGCCAUGGUGACUGUGCCAGGAGAGGGGAAAGAGGCACCUGGAGAGGCAGGACAGGGGUGAUCCCAACCCCAUGCUGGGGAAUGACCCGUUGGGAGUGGAGGUGGAGGGUUCCAGCUCUUGGGAAUGACCUGUUGGGAGUGGAGGGCUCCAGCUCGCUGGGCAAACAAAGCAUUCCUGGGAUGCUCUUUCUCUCUAUUUUUGUAGGAUGGGGGGUGGGAGAGCAGAUGGGAGAUGCCUGCGGAAGUUGUUUAUUUUUAACCCUGGUUGGUUUUGGUUUUUGGCCUUUAAAAAAAUAAAAUGGUCCUUGCUUUUGAUGUUUAUGCUGCCUACCUGUAAAUCCAGAUGUACUUAAGUGGCUGAAAUCCUUGUUCUUAAAUCAGAUACACAUUAUAGUUUUGAACUAUAUAUAUAGUAAAUAUAUAUAUAUAUAUGCCUAACCCAGCAAAAAAAAAAUAAAAAAAUAAAGUAUUUGGGGGUGGGAAAUGCGUUGCUCUUUGAAAUGAAUCACAAUUGGGGGAUGAAAUUGUGUUUCUGAGUGCCUCAAGAUAUGAAUUGUUUUCAUUUUUUUAAAUAAUUUUAUACAAGUGUCAAAACAGCUGGCUGGAUUAUUUGGAAUUUUUAAAUAAUCCUAACUUUUUUAAAGUAGAUUUUGAGAACUGUCCUGUAUAUAACAGUAAUGUAGCAAUAAAUGUGACAUUUUAUAACAAUAUU